GCACACCAUGCUGGCGUCGCUGCGCACCCACCAGCACCCGCCGACGCUAGCCCAGUCGACCGCCAACGGCUCGGCCUCGGCACCCAUCUCAGACACCUCCGAUUACAAGAGUAGUUCGUGCUAGGACUGUAGAGCGCGCCAGGGUCGCGCUGCGGCCGGCCUUGGCUCGCGCCGUGCGGUGUUGGUGACCGCACGCCCGACAGUGUGGCCUGACUAGACCAAAGACUGCCCGUGGCAGGCUAUUCAGCUCCGGUUCGUUUGAGUACAGUACGCGCGGCAGCUAAUCGUCUCUCCUGUGGAAGGUCCAGUGUGAGGACUUCGUACCAUGCCGUCGUCUUGUCGCCUUCGUCAUCCAUUGAACAGCUGAAAAGCGCUGCAUCUCACUCCAGUAUCGCAGCGUGGCGCGCUUCUCCGCUUCAUGAACUGUGGUGUGCGUGCGUGUUAUCUCUUCCUCGUGUGUCGCGUAGGUUUGUCGGCAACUAGUGUUGUUUGCGGAGAACAAAGUUGGAACAGCGGUUAGGCUACCUCCGUCUAGCUGUGCUCUGUGCAAUGGUAAUGAAGUUGCGUGCUGAGUGGGCACGUAUGUACGUAAAUUGAUAGUCAUCGGCUGGCGUCGUGGCGCUGCAUAGAUUGCUUUGUUAGAGCCAACCUUUAAGUGUUUGCACCGUGUCACAAUCAGGUUGCAAGUUUCUGCAAAAUAAAAGUUUCUUCAUGAA